rnacentral:rRNA from 1 species
UUCCGGUUGAUCCUGCCGGACCUUACUGCUAUCGGGGUGGGACUAAGACAUGCGAGUCGAGCGUCUCUAGCUAUGUUGAGACGCGGCAGACGGCUCAGUAACACGUGGCUAACCUACCCUCAGGACAAGGAUAAACCCGGGAAACUGGGGCUAAUACUUGAUAGGCGAAGAUGCCUGGAAUGGUUUUUCACCUAAAGGGCUUUAGAAACAUGCUUCUAAAGUCGCCUGAGGAUGGGGCCGCGUCCGAUCAGGUUGUUGGUGAGGUAACGGCUCACCAAGCCUAUAACCGGUACGGGCCGUGAGAGCGGUAGCCCGGAGAUGGGUACUGAGACAAGGACCCAGGCCCUACGGGGCGCAGCAGUCGCGAAAACUCCGCGAUGCACGAAAGUGUGACGGGGCUACCCCGAGUGCCAUCCGCUGAGGAUGGCUUUUCUUUGGUAUAACUAGCCAGGGGAAUAAGGAGAGGGCAAGACUGGUGUCAGCCGCCGCGGUAAUACCAGCUCUCCGAGUGGUAGGGAUGAUUAUUGGGCUUAAAGCGUCCGUAGCCGGCUUAGCAAGUCUCCUGUUAAACUCAGCGACCUAAUCGUUGAAUCGCGGGAGAUACUACUAGGCUAGGAGGCGGGAGAGGUCGACGGUACUUCUGGGGUAGGGGUGAAAUCCUAUAAUCCCGGGAGGACCACCAGUGGCGAAGGCUGUCGACUAGAACGCGCUCGACGGUGAGGGACGAAAGCUGGGGGAGCGAACCGGAUUAGAUACCCGGGUAGUCCCAGCCGUAAACGAUGCGGGCUAGGUGUUGGAAUGGCUACGUGCCAUUUCAGUGCCGCAGGGAAGCCAUUAAGCCCGCCGCCUGGGGAGUACGGCCGCAAGGCUGAAACUUAAAGGAAUUGGCGGGGGAGCACCACAAGGCGUGAAGCUUGCGGUUCAAUUGGAAUCAACGCCGGA